rnacentral:rRNA from 1 species
UAAUAGCGUAUAUUAAAGUUGUUGCAGUUAAAAAGCUCGUAGUCGGAUGUCGGGCUCGGGGAGGCUGUCGGCCUUUGGUCGGACGGCAUGUCCGGGCCUUUCUGCCUGGGGAUCCUAUUCUACUUAACUGUAGGGUAGUGGGACGCAGGCCGUUUACUUUGAAAAAAUUAGAGUGUUCAAAGCAGGCCUACGCUUGAAUACAUUAGCAUGGAAUAAUGGAAUAGGACUUUGGUCUUAUUUGUUGGUUUAUGGGACCGAAGUAAUGAUUAACAGGGACAGUUGGGGCCGUUUAUAUUUCGUUGUCAGAGGUGAAAUUCUUGGAUUUACGAAAGAUAAACUUCUGCGAAAGCAUUCGGCAAGGAUGUUUUCAUUGA